rnacentral:misc_RNA from 1 species
GAUGAAGAACGCAGCGAAAUGCGAUAAGUAAUGUGAAUUGCAGAAUUCAGUGAAUCAUCGAAUCUUUGAACGCACAUUGCGCCCUCUGGUAUUCCGGGGGGCAUGCCUGUUCGAGCGUCAUUAUAACCACUCAAGCUCUCGCUUGGUAUUGGAGUUCGCGAUCUCGCGGUUCCUAAAAUCAGUGGCGGUGCCUGUCGGCUCUACGCGUAGUAAUACUCCUCGCGAUUGAGUCCGGUAGGUUUACUUGCCAGCAACCCCCAAUUUUUACAGGUUGACCUCGGAUCAGGUAGGGAUACCCGCUGAACUUAAGCAUAUCAAUAAGCGGAGGA